CCCUUAGAUGUUCUGGGCUGCACGCGCGCUACACUGAUGCACUCAACGAGUUUACGACCUUGCCCGAUAGGGUUGGGUAAUCUUUUUAAAAUGCAUCGUGAUGGGGAUAGAUUAUUGCAAUUAUUAAUCUUCAACGAGGAAUUCCUAGUAAGCGCGAGUCAUCAGCUCGUGCUGAUUACGUCCCUGCCCUUUGUACACACCGCCCGUCGCUCCUACCGAUUGAGUGCUCAGGUGAAUAAUUCGGACUGCAGCAAUGUUCGGAUCCCGAACGUUGCAGCGGAAAGUUUAGUGAACCUUAUCACUUAGAGGAAGGAGAAGUCGUAACA
rnacentral:rRNA from 1 species